UGAGGAAUAUUGGGCAAUGGGCGCAAGCCUGACCCAGCCAUGCCGCGUGCAGGAUGAAGGCGCUAUGCGUUGUAAACUGCUUUUGUUCGGGAAGAAACCCAUCUACGUGUAGGUGGUUGACGGUACUGAAUGAAUAAGCAUCGGCUAACUCCGUGCCAGCAGCCGCGGUAAUACGGAGGAUGCAAGCGUUAUCCGGAUUCAUUGGGUUUAAAGGGUGCGUAGGCGGAAUAUUAAGUCAGCGAUGAAAUCCUGCAGCUUAACUGUAGAACUGUCAUUGAUACUGGUAUUCUUGAAUGCAGUUGAGGUAGGCGGAAUGUGUAAUGUAGCGGUGAAAUGCUUAGAUAUUACACAGAACACCGAUUGCGAAGGCAGCUUACUAAACUGUGAUUGACGCUGAGGCACGAAAGCGUGGGGAGCAAACAGG
rnacentral:rRNA from 1 species